CAUUGGAUAGCUCAGUUGGUUACAGCAUGGCACUGAUAAUGCCAAGGUUGUAAGUUCGAUCCCCAUAUAUUCCUAUAUGA